AAGGAGUACUGAAGUGCUUGCCACAGGUGCAAGGCAGUGGUGGUGAGGACCUUCCUCCCUGAACUUCACCCAUGACCCUUGUUCCUGCUCACACCCCAGGGCCAUCGUCCAUUGAGGGACAAGAAUGGACCGCCACCACCCUUCUCCCGUGCACCUUGCCAACUUCAGGGCCCUCUGCGGCAGAUCUGGAACCUGGAGGGACAAGGUGGCCGGCCAGGCGCAGAGGCACUAAGUCCUGCUCGCCCCUGCCCCCUGGUGGCUGAACAUGGCCUUACAGAAACAGGAUGCUUACUGGAGGCAGGGGUUGUCGAUCUACUCUGGUCCAAAGAAGAGAAAUAAAAAGCAAAUGUCCUUACGUUAGGUACGUGUCCCCG
rnacentral:lncRNA from 1 species